AGAGUUUGAUCCUGGCUCAGGAUGAACGCUGGCGGUCUGCUUAACACAUGCAAGUCGAACGGGCUCUUUCGGGAGCUAGUGGCGGACGGGUGAGUAACGCGUGAGAAUCUGCCAAAAGGACUGGGACAACCACUGGAAACGGUGGCUAAUACCGGAUGAGCCGCAACGUAAAAGAGGAAACUCGCCUUUUGAGGAGCUCGCGUCUGAUUAGCUAGUUGGUGAGGUAAGAGCUCACCAAGGCAUCGAUCAGUAGCUGGUCUGAGAGGAUGAUCAGCCACACUGGGACUGAGACACGGCCCAGACUCCUACGGGAGGCAGCAGUGGGGAAUUUUCCGCAAUGGGCGAAAGCCUGACGGAGCAAGACCGCGUGAGGGAGGAAGGCUCUUGGGUUGUAAACCUCUUUUGUCAGGGAAGAACACAAUGACGGUACCUGAAGAAUCAGCAUCGGCUAACUCCGUGCCAGCAGCCGCGGUAAUACGGGGGAUGCAAGCGUUAUCCGGAAUUAUUGGGCGUAAAGCGUCCGCAGGUGGCUAAUCAAGUCUGCUGUCAAAGAUUGGGGCUUAACCCCAAAAAGGCAGUGGAAACUGAGAAGCUAGAGUGCAGUAGGGGUAGAGGGAAUUCCCGGUGUAGCGGUGAAAUGCGUAGAGAUCGGGAAGAACAUCGGUGGCGAAAGCGCUCUACUGGACUGCAACUGACACUCAGGGACGAAAGCUAGGGGAGCGAAUGGGAUUAGAUACCCCCGUAGUCC
rnacentral:rRNA from 1 species